rnacentral:rRNA from 1 species
AACGAACGCUGGCGGCAUGCCUAACACAUGCAAGUCGAACGAGACCUUCGGGUCUAGUGGCGCACGGGUGCGUAACGCGUGGGAACCUGCCCUUAGGUUCGGAAUAACUCCCCGAAAGGGGUGCUAAUACCGGAUAAUGUCUUCGGACCAAAGAUUUAUCGCCUUUGGAUGGGCCCGCGUUGGAUUAGGUGGUUGGUAGGGUAAAAGCCUACCAAGGGGACGUUCCAUAGCUGGUCGGGGAGGAGGCCCAGCCACACUGGAACUGAGGCACGGCCCAGACCCGUACGGAGGGGUGGGGUGGGGAACAUUAGGGGAGGGGGGAAAGCCUAGCCCAGCAGCGCCGGGGAAGAGGGGAAGGCCGUAGGGUAGUAAAGCUGUUUGACCCGGGACGUUAAUGACGGUACCGGGAAAAGAAGCACCGGCUAACUCCGUG